rnacentral:lncRNA from 1 species
GUGAAUUAAGUAUCUCUAUCUGGGUGCAAAUUAAGCAUCAGAAAAGAAAGUGUCAUCUUUGGUGUGUUUACUUUCCCUUUACGCAAUGAGCUUUUCUUCCAGGUUGGAGAGAAUGAUUCCGUGAUAAUUGUGACACAUGAACCUGGUUGGCUUCUUGAUUGGUACUGGGAUGAUGUGAGCGGGAAAAAUGUUUCACACCUGAUAUGUGACUAUUUGAAGGGUAGGUGUAAACUCCGGAUGGCUGGAGACUUGCAUCAUUUUAUGCGACACUCAUAUGUUCCAUCUGAUAAACCAGCUCAUGUGCAACAUUUACUUGUCAAUGGUUCUGGUGGAGCUUUUUUGCAUCCUACUCAUGUAUUCAGUAGUUUCAAUAAAUUAUAUGGAACUUCGUAUAAGUUUGAAGCAGCCUAUCCUUCUUGUGAAGAUUCAAGUAGGGUAUGUUACUAAAUUUUACUGCCGGAUACUUUCUUAAUUUCUAUUUCUAAUGUAAUCAAGUGAUGUUUAAGGGGCUUAUAUAUUAUUUGUUGCAGAUUGCACUGGGAAACAUAUUGAAAUUCCGAAAGAAAAAUUGGCAGUUUGAUUUCAUUGGUGGUAUCAUAUACUUUGUCUUAGCGUUUUCUAUGUUCCCACAGGCGAGUUACUUAACUUUGUUACAACAAAUAUUUUGAUCUUGCUUCAGACAAUUAGGAUGUUCUUUAUGCUUGCAAACUUUACAUGAAAUUUCACAUCGUUUAUUUCCUCGAAAUAAAGGACACCAUUUUCAAAGUUAUAGUCUUUUCAAGAUUAGCUUUUUCGUUUUCUCUUUUUUUUCCCUGAUGACAUUCUAUAUACUCCUUUUAGUGCAAGCUGGACCAUCUCUUCAAGGAUGAUACAUUUUCUGGUCAUCUCAAGAGCUUCUUUAGUACUGUGUGGGAUGCUUUUAUGUACAUGCUUGGACAGUCUUAUGUAUCUUUAGCUGGUACCUUGUUAUUGUUAGCAGCUGCUAUCGCAUUUGUACCUUCUAAAGUUUCUCGAAAAAGAAGGGCAAUAGUUGGAUUUCUUCAUGUUUCUGCACACUUGGCUGCAGCAAUAAUUCUCAUGAUGCUUUUAGAAGUUGGUGUUGAAACAUGUAUCAGGCAUAAACUAUUGGGAACAUCAGGUGCGCUUUAGUUUUAACUGAUUUCUUUUGAGUCAGAAAUCUUGUUUUCAUUAUCUACAACAUUAUUAUUUGAGCUUGUAUAUCUGCUGAAAUCAUGCUUCUUUACUGCAGCCAGGUUCUUGCUCUUCCAUGUCUUUUGUUGAAAUAUGGAUGUUAGCAUUGUGCAUUAAUAUUAUACAUAGUGAAGUCUUCUUCAUUCGUUUUUUUGUGCACAUGAAAUUAUAUUAUUAUUAAAGAUGAUAAUUUGAAUAAGGGAGGCCAUGACUAUGCCGCUAGGUUCAUAUUUUCUUUUCAUUCUUUUUGUUAUCUACUAUGGUUCUUAGUUUUGCCAUUCUUGGUUUUGUAUUACUUGUUUCACAGUCAUAUUCAUAAAAAUCCCAUGUUAGGAGGCCGUGGUUAUGUUUUUUUAUAAAUCGUCCUGAAUAUCUUUGUAAAGGGAAGUUAAUUGGUAAUUGGAUCUAGUUAUCUAGUCUCUGUGUUGGCAUAUACUUGUUUGAAUUUGUUCAAAACCAUGUCUAGUUUUUAUUUUGUUCGUAGACAUGUACUAAUAGUUAUGAUCUCAUUUCAGGUUAUCACACUUUAUAUGAAUGGUAUCGCACAGUUGAGAGUGAGCAUUUUCCAGACCCAACUGGCCUCCGUGCUCGUAUAGAACAGUGGACAUUUGGGCUGUAUCCAGCAUGUAUCAAGUAUCUUAUGUCUGCCUUUGAUGUUCCAGAGGUCCAAACUUCAUUUUAUAACUAUCUAUAUAAGGAUAUAUAUCCAGAAUUCUCAUUGUGUACUUGUUAUCUCUUGAAUCUACUAAAUUUGUGAGCACAAAUAGGUCAUGGCUGUCACAAGGAAUGAUAUGUGUAACAAUGGAUCCGAUUCAUUUUCCCGCGGUGGUGCUGUGAUAUAUUAUGCUUCCGUGUUCCUGUACUUUUGGUUCUUUACCACUCCUGUGGUUUCGUUGAUUUUUGGAAGCUAUUUGUACAUCUGUAUUAAUUGGUUGCAUCUGCACUUUGAUGAAGCCUUCUCUUCACUCCGUAUAGCCAAUUACAAAGCAUUUACACGCUUCCAUAUUAAGAAUAACGGCGAUCUUGAGGUUUUUACGCUUGCAGUUGACAAGGUAAAAAAAGCUCGCAUUAUAGUGCCUAUUUGUUUUUGAAGNAUGAAGCAUAAUGGGUCCUCUUUGAUUAUACAGAUUGGUUCGACGGACUUCAAACCUAUAUGAGGUACAUUUGUCAUAAAAGCUGGUUGGGCGGGUGGUUCAUGCCUCAGAAGAAGAGCUACUUUGCUAUGCAGCUACCGCAGAGAUGGUGGAUAUUUGGUCUUGAUUUAGCUCUGCACGGUGAUAUUGAUGUUUAUCAGUUCAAGUUCUUCUCUGAAUUGGUUAUGGACAAGGUUCCUCUCCUAAUGUUUUUGUUUAACAAAUGUUAUAUACUAUUCUUGUUUUUAAACAUUUUCCUUACAUGAUGCAAUACCUUUUUUAUUUCAUAUGCAUUAUGUUUAGUUUAAUAUUAUCGAGUUCGUGAAUUAAGUAUCUCUAUCUGGGUGCAAAUUAAGCAUCAGAAAAGAAAGUGUCAUCUUUGGUGUGUUUACUUUCCCUUUACGCAAUGAGCUUUUCUUCCAGGUUGGAGAGAAUGAUUCCGUGAUAAUUGUGACACAUGAACCUGGUUGGCUUCUUGAUUGGUACUGGGAUGAUGUGAGCGGGAAAAAUGUUUCACACCUGAUAUGUGACUAUUUGAAGGGUAGGUGUAAACUCCGGAUGGCUGGAGACUUGCAUCAUUUUAUGCGACACUCAUAUGUUCCAUCUGAUAAACCAGCUCAUGUGCAACAUUUACUUGUCAAUGGUUCUGGUGGAGCUUUUUUGCAUCCUACUCAUGUAUUCAGUAGUUUCAAUAAAUUAUAUGGAACUUCGUAUAAGUUUGAAGCAGCCUAUCCUUCUUGUGAAGAUUCAAGUAGGGUAUGUUACUAAAUUUUACUGCCGG